rnacentral:rRNA from 1 species
GACGAACGCUGGCGGCGUGCUUAACACAUGCAAGUCGAGCGGAAAGGCCCUUUGGGGUACUCGAGCGGCGAACGGGUGAGUAACACGUGAGUAACCUGCCCCAGACUUUGGGAUAACCCUCGGAAACGGGGGCUAAUACCGGAUACGACACAGCUUCGCAUGGGGUCUGUGUGGAAAGUUUUUCGGUUUGGGAUGGGCUCGCGGCCUAUCAGCUUGUUGGUGGGGUGAUGGCCUACCAAGGCGACGACGGGUAGCCGGCCUGAGAGGGCGACCGGCCACACUGGGACUGAGACACGGCCCAGACUCCUACGGGAGGCAGCAGUGGGGAAUAUUGCACAAUGGGCGGAAGCCUGAUGCAGCGACGCCGCGUGAGGGAUGACGGCCUUCGGGUUGUAAACCUCUUUCAGCAGGGACGAAGCGUAAGUGACGGUACCUGCAGAAGAAGCGCCGGCCAACUACGUG